rnacentral:tRNA from 1 species
AGAAAAUUAGUUAAAUUAUAACAUUAAUUUGUCAAAUUAAAAUUACAUUUGUAUUUUCUG